CGCAUCUGUGCAUGCAGCAUAUCAAUAAGCGGAGGAAAAGAAACUAACAAGGAUUCCCCUAGUAACGGCGAGUGAAGCGGGAAGAGCUCAAAUUUGAAAUCUUAAAGGGUUUCCCUUUACAAAUUGUAGUUUAAAGAAGUGUUUUCUGUCGAGGUUUUGGUAAAAGUUCUUUGGAAUAGGACAUCAUAGAGGGUGAGAAUCCCGUAUUUGACCUUUACUUUCAACUUUGUGAUACACUUUCGAAGAGUCGGAUUGUUUGGGAAUGCAGUCCAAAAUGGGUGGUAAAUUUCAUCUAAAGCUAAAUAUUGGCGAGAGACCGAUAGCGAACAAGUACCGUGAGGGAAAGAUGAAAAGAACUUUGAAAAGAGAGUUAAACAGUACGUGAAAUUGUCAAAAGGGAAGCGUUUGACACCAGUGUUGUUUUUCUGAAAAUCAAUUAAAGAACUGUUUAUGCUAAGUUGUUUAGACUUUAUCAGCUAUCUGUUUAGUUUUAGGCUUUUCUUUAAUGCACUUUUCAGUUAACAAGUCAACAUCAAUUUCUUUUGCUGUAAAAAAGCUUGAGGAAGGUGGCUUGAGAUUCGUCUUAAGUGUUUAUAGCCUCUUGCCUAUGCAGUCGGAGAGAUUGAGGUCUGCAGCGUAGAUCCUUCGGGGCUAAAUGCAUUUGUGCUAAGUUAUAACAUUUUAUAGACAACUUGUUGACUAUGAUUUGUCUUGUAGCUUACUCGCUUAUGUUAUUUUACCUACGCUUAGGAUGUUGAACGCGCACAGAGUCUC
rnacentral:rRNA from 1 species